UACGAAGGGGGCUAGCGUUGUUCGGAAUUACUGGGCGUAAAGCGCACGUAGGCGGACAUUUAAGUCAGGGGUGAAAUCCCAGAGCUCAACUCUGGAACUGCCUUUGAUACUGGGUGUCUUGAGUAUGGAAGAGGUGAGUGGAAUUCCGAGUGUAGAGGUGAAAUUCGUAGAUAUUCGGAGGAACACCAGUGGCGAAGGCGGCUCACUGGUCCAUUACUGACGCUGAGAAGCGAAAGCAUGGGGAGCGAACAGG
rnacentral:rRNA from 1 species